rnacentral:rRNA from 1 species
GAACGCUGGCGGCGUGCUUAACACAUGCAAGUCGAGCGGAAAGGCUCCUUCGGGGGUACUCGAGCGGCGAACGGGUGAGUAACACGUGAGUAACCUGCCUCUGACACUGGGAUAACCCCGGGAAACCGGGGCUAAUACCGGGUAUGACCUGUGCCGGCAUCGGUGCGGGUGGAAAGCUUUUGCGGUCAGGGAUGGGCUCGCGGCCUAUCAGCUUGUUGGUGGGGUGAUGGCCUACCAAGGCGACGACGGGUAGCCGGCCUGAGAGGGCGACCGGCCACACUGGGACUGAGACACGGCCCAGACUCCUACGGGAGGCAGCAGUGGGGAAUAUUGCACAAUGGGCGAAAGCCUGAUGCAGCGACGCCGCGUGAGGGAUGACGGCCUUCGGGUUGUAAACCUCUUUCGACAGGGACGAAGCGCGAGUGACGGUACCUGGAGAAGAAGCGCCGGCCAACUACGUGCCAGCAGCCGCGGUAAGACGUAGGGCGCAAGCGUUGUCCGGAUUUAUUGGGCGUAAAGAGCUCGUAGGC